rnacentral:lncRNA from 1 species
GUCAGGAGCCACCUAGUGUAGGUUCUGGGAGCUCUGGAGACCAGGCUGGUCUCGAACUCACAGAGAUGCUGGCGUUAAAGGCCUGCGCCACUACCGCCCAGUGGGAACCAACCUCUUAUGCUUCCUUAUGUUUCCUGUUUACAUCGGUGGCUUAUAUUCCAGAGAUGCUGAACGAAUUGAAAUUGAGGUUCAGUUCAUUAUCAUCAUGAAGGGGAGUCUGUCAGCAGCGCGCAGGCAAGACGUGGUGCUGGAGCAACAGGAAGUGGACUGGCUGUCACAUUGAGUGAAGCUUGAGAAAAGGUGCAGAGGCCGCAACCACGGAGGUCAGGGAUGCCUGGCCCUGGAGGAGCCAGGUGACGUGCUGCCACCCGGCCGCCCCCUCGCUUUGCUCUUCCUGGUCCUCACUACGUUGGCUAACGCCGGGGAUUCGGGCGGCGGGGCAGCGGGGACCGGGGCC